rnacentral:rRNA from 1 species
UACAGAGGGUGCGAGCGUUAAUCGGAAUUACUGGGCGUAAAGCGUGCGUAGACGGUUAUUUAAGUCGGAUGUGAAAGCCCCGGGCUCAACCUGGGAAUUGCAUUCGAGACUGAAUAGCUAGGGUACGGUAGAGGGAAGCGGAAUUUCCGGUGUAGCGGUGAAGUGCGUAGAUAUCGGAAGGAACAUCAGUGGCGAAAGCGGCUUCCUGGACCAGUACCGACGUUCAGGCACGAAAGCGUGGGGAGCAAACAGG